rnacentral:rRNA from 1 species
UACGAAGGGGGCUAGCGUUGUUCGGAAUCACUGGGCGUAAAGCGCGCGUAGGCGGACCUGCAAGUCGGGGGUGAAAGCCCGAGGCUUAACCUCGGAACUGCCUUCGAUACUGCGGGUCUCGAGUCCGGGAGAGGUGAGUGGAAUUCCUAGUGUAGAGGUGAAAUUCGUAGAUAUUAGGAAGAACACCAGUGGCGAAGGCGGCUCACUGGCCCGGUACUGACGCUGAGGCGCGAAAGCGUGGGGAGCAAACAGG